CUACGGGAGGCUCCAGCAGGGAAUAUUGCACAAUGGACGGAAGUCUGAUGCAGCGACGCCGCGUGGAUGAUGAAGGCCUUCGGGUUGUAAAAUCCUUUUCAGGGAGAAGAGGAAGGACGGUAUCCCUGGAAUAAGCGUCGGCUAACUACGUGCCAGCAGCCGCGGUAAUACGUAGGACGCAAGCGUUAUCCGGAUUUACUGGGCGUAAAGCGUCUGUAGGCGGUUUAGUAAGUUUGAUGUGAAAGCUCCAGGCUCAACUUGGAGAGUGCAUUGAAUACUGCUAGACUUGAGGGGAUCAGAGGAAAGCGGAAUUUCCGGUGUAGCGGUAAAAUGCGCAGAUAUCGGAAAGAACACCAGUGGCGAAGGCGGCUUUCUGGGAUCAACCUGACGCUGAGAGACGAAAGCUAGGGUAGCGAACAGAAUUAGAUACCCUUGUAGUC
rnacentral:rRNA from 1 species